rnacentral:rRNA from 1 species
GACGAACGCUGGCGGCGUGCUUAACACAUGCAAGUCGAACGGAAAGGCCCUGCUUUUGUGGGGUGCUCGAGUGGCGAACGGGUGAGUAACACGUGAGUAACCUGCCCUUGACUUUGGGAUAACUUCAGGAAACUGGGGCUAAUACCGGAUAGGAGCUCCUGCUGCAUGGUGGGGGUUGGAAAGUUUCGGCGGUUGGGGAUGGACUCGCGGCUUAUCAGCUUGUUGGUGGGGUAGUGGCUUACCAAGGCUUUGACGGGUAGCCGGCCUGGGAGGGUGACCGGCCACAUUGGGACUGGGAUGCGACCCAGAGUGAUACGGGAGGCAGCAGUGGGGAAUAUUGCACGAUGGGCGGAAGCCGGAUGGAGGAUCGCCGCGUGGGAGAUGACGGCCUUCGGGUUGUAAACCGCUUUCGCCUGUGACGAAGCGUGAGGGACGGUAAUGGGUAAAGAGGCACCGGCUAACUACGU